rnacentral:rRNA from 1 species
AUUGAACGCUGGCGGCAGGCCUAACACAUGCAAGUCGAGCGGAUGAAGGGAGCUUGCUCCUGGAUUCAGCGGCGGACGGGUGAGUAAUGCCUAGGAAUCUGCCUGGUAUUGGGGGAUAACGUCCGGAAACGGGCGCUAAUACCGCAUACGUCCUGAGGGAGAAAGUGGGGGAUCUUCGGACCUCACGCUAUCAGAUGAGCCUAGGUCGGAUUAGCUAGUUGGUGGGGUAAAGGCCUACCAAGGCGACGAUCCGUAACUGGUCUGAGAGGAUGAUCAGUCACACUGGAACUGAGACACGGUCCAGACUCCUACGGGAGGCAGCAGUGGGGAAUAUUGGACAAAGGGCGAAAGCCUGAUCCAGCCAUGCCGCGUGUGUGAAGAAGGUCUUCGGAUUGUAAAGCACUUUAAGUUGGGAGGAAGGGCAGUAAGUUAAUACCUUGCUGUUUUGACGUUACCAACAGAAUAAGCACCGGCUAACUUCGUG